GGAACGCGGAAGCUGGAGCUGCCGCUGGACGGCGCGGUGGGAACCACCUGUACGGCUGAACUCGAGUCUCGAGAGAAUACGAUGUUCAGGAGGGUUUGGACAUCCACCCAAGUGGGGAAAGGAGUGUGGAAUAUUCCCCAGACUAAAUCAGCAGGGUGCCUAGUGCUCAUCUACCCUGGUCUGUGACUGACUUAUCCUUUCACAGGAGUGUUCCAGUGGUGGUGCCUCCUGGUGGUUCCUGAAGACACUGCGUUUUUGUGUGCAUGGACUCAGCCAAGUGUUGUCCCAAAGCUGAAACCAUGGUGGAUCCUGAAGAGACCGAGCUUCUAUCAGCGGCACAAGUAGCCAAGUUCCUUCAUGAGCCAAGUCCACCAGUGGAACACACAUGCACCUCAAGUAUCAGAGAGGUGGACUUGGUGCUGCCUGCUGGCCAGCUGGGAAGUACAGACCUCAACCUCUCAGUUCCCUGGAGCCCAUGCUGAUACUGGCGAGCCUGCAGAACCACUAAAUUUGGAAAUUCAAACUGAGAUGGAGCCAAAUAUCCCAUGACUUCUCCAAAAAUAGUUAUAGAAUAAUAAAUUGGAAACCAUAUGCAAUCAAAAGACUGUAGACACAAACUUUACAACUUACACCAAAAUUCACUCAAAAUUGUCCAUAGACAAAUUUAAAAUGUAAAACUAUAAAAAUUAUAGGUGAAAACA